GACGAACGCUGGCGGCGUGCUUAACACAUGCAAGUCGAACGGAAAGGCCCUGCUUGCAGGGUGCUCGAGUGGCGAACGGGUGAGUAACACGUGGGUGAUCUGCCCCUUACUUUGGGAUAAGCCUGGGAAACUGGGUCUAAUACUGGAGAGGACCAUGCUGUAGGUGGUGUGGUGGAAAGAUUAGUUUCGGUAAGGGAUGAGCUCGCGGCCUAUCAGCUUGUUGGUGGGGUAAUGGCCUACCAGGGGGUGUACGGGCGGCGGCCUGAAGAGGGUGACGGCCACCUUGGGACUGCGGAACGGCCCCGCAUCCUACGGGAGGCAGCAGUGGGGAAUAUUGCACAAUGGGGGCACGCCGCAUGCAGCGACGCCGCGUGGGGGAUGACGGCCUUCGGGUUGUAAACUCCUUUCAGCCAUGACGAAGCCCUUGUGGUGACGGUAGUGGUAGAAGAAGCACCGGCUAACUACGUG
rnacentral:rRNA from 1 species